UACGUAGGGUGCAAGCGUUGUCCGGAAUUAUUGGGCGUAAAGAGCUCGUAGGCGGUUUGUCGCGUCUGCUGUGAAAACCCGGGGCUCAACCCCGGGCCUGCAGUCGAUACGGGCAGACUAGAGUGCGGUAGGGGAGACUGGAAUUCCUGGUGUAGCGGUGAAAUGCGCAGAUAUCAGGAGGAACACCGGUGGCGAAGGCGGUCUGCUGGGCAGUUGCUGACACUGAGGCGCGACAGCGUGGGGGAGCAAACAGG
rnacentral:rRNA from 1 species